rnacentral:rRNA from 1 species
GGAGGCGCUGCCUAAUACAUGCAAGUCGAGCGGACAGAUGGGAGCUUGCUCCCUGAUGUUAGCGGCGGACGGGUGAGUAACACGUGGGUAACCUGCCUGUAAGACUGGGAUAACUCCGGGAAACCGGGGCUAAUACCGGAUGGUUGUCUGAACCGCAUGGUUCAGACAUAAAAGGUGGCUUCGGCUACCACUUACAGAUGGACCCGCGGCGCAUUAGCUAGUUGGUGAGGUAACGGCUCACCAAGGCGACGAUGCGUAGCCGACCUGAGAGGGUGAUCGGCCACACUGGGACUGAGACACGGCCCAGACUCCUACGGGAGGCAGCAGUAGGGAAUCUUCCGCAAUGGACGAAAGUCUGACGGAGCAACGCCGCGUGAGUGAUGAAGGUUUUCGGAUCGUAAAGCUCUGUUGUUAGGGAAGAACAAGUGCCGUUCAAAUAGGGCGGCACCUUGACGGUACCUAACCAGAAAGCCACGGCUAACUACGUGCCAGCAGCCGCGGUAAUACGUAGGUGGCAAGCGUUGUCCGGAAUUAUUGGGCGUAAAGGGCUCGCAGGCGGUUUCUUAAGUCUGAUGUGAAAGCCCCCGGCUCAACCGGGGAGGGUCAUUGGAAACUGGGGAACUUGAGUGCAGAAGAGGAGAGUGGAAUUCCACGUGUAGCGGUGAAAUGCGUAGAGAUGUGGAGGAACACCAGUGGCGAAGGCGACUCUCUGGUCUGUAACUGACGCUGAGGAGCGAAAGCGUGUGGAGCGAACAGGAUUAGAUACCCUGGUAGUCCACGCCGUAAACGAUGAGUGCUAAGUGUUAGGGGGUUUCCGCCCCUUAGUGCUGCAGCUAACGCAUUAGGCACUCCGCCUGGUGAGUUCGGUCGCAGACUGAAAAUUCAUAGGAAUUGACGGGUGCCCGGAAAGGGUGGACCUGGGGGUUUAGUUCGGAGGCAACGGGGAAAGAACUUACGAUGGUUUAGCAUCGUUUGACAAGCCGUAAAUUAGACGGCCCCGUUUGGGG